rnacentral:rRNA from 1 species
AGAUUGAACGCUGGCGGCAGGCCUAACACAUGCAAGUCGAGCGGCAGAGAGGUGCUUGCACCUCUUGAGAGCGGCGGACGGGUGAGUAAUGCCUAGGAAUCUGCCUAGUGGUGGGGGAUAACGUUCGGAAACGGACGCUAAUACCGCAUACGUCCUACGGGAGAAAGCGGGGGACCGUUCGGGCCUCGCGCCAUUAGAUGAGCCUAGGUCGGAUUAGCUUAGUUGGUGAGGUAUGGCUCACCAAGGCGACGAGUCCGUAA